rnacentral:rRNA from 1 species
GACGAACGCUGGCGGCGUGCCUAAUACAUGCAAGUCGAACGCAGUGGGGACGGGUGAGUAACACGUGGGUAACCUCCCCUCAGAGGGGAUAACACUUGGAAACAGGUGCUAAACCGAUACUGAUGGAUGGACCCGGGGGGCAUUAGCUAGUUGGGGAGGGAACGCCUCACCAAGGCUACGAUGCAUAGGCGGUCUGAGAGUGGGAGCGGCACCACUGGGACUGAGCCACGGCCCAGACUCAUACGGGAGGCAGCAGUAGGGAAUAUUCGGAAAUGGACGAAAGUCUGACCGAGCAACGCCGCGUGAGUGAAGAAGGUUUUCGGAUCGUAAAGCUCUGUUGUUAGAGAAGCGGUAUCUAACGAAGAAGCCACGGCUAACUCCGUGCCAGCCGCCGCGGUAAUAC